GAUCAUGGCUCAGAUUGAACGCUGGCGGCAGUCUUAACACAUGCAAGUCGAACGGUAACAUAAAGAAGCUUGCUUCUUUGAUGACGAGUGGCGGACGGGUGAGUAAUGCUUGGGAAUCUAGCUUAUGGAGGGGGGAUAACCACGGGAAACUGUAGCUAAUACCGCGUAGAAUCGAGAGAUGAAAGUGUGGGACCUUCGGGCCACAUGCCAUAGGAUGAGCCCAAGUGGGAUUAGGUAG
rnacentral:rRNA from 1 species